rnacentral:tmRNA from 1 species
GGGGAUGAAAGGUCUCGACGGGAGAGGCUAGCCCCGGAUUGCGAGCCGAGAGGCGCCGAACUCGCAAAAUCAGCGCAAACAAUACGUGCCAACCGCACAAACUACGCUGCACUGCCCCUCGCUGCAUAAGCGAAAGCAGUAAAGCUGACCCCCAAGAGGGAUCACGUCCGCCUGCAUCGCUUUCUGACCGAUCGCAGGGUCGGGCGUCACAAAGUCAGAAUGCCGCACGGCUGACGCCGCUAAGCGUGUGAAAGAGAAGCUUUCGGGCUUCAGCGGAUAGCAGGAGAUGCGCCUCUGUCGGUUGAGGCCUCGCCUGCGAACCCGAUAACCGACUACGCUCGUAGACAUUCGAGGGACGAAUCUUUCGGACUCGGGUUCGAUUCCCGACAUCUCCACUC